ensembl:ncRNA asRNA:CR43472 antisense RNA:CR43472
UACACUCAAGGCCCGCCAGCACUGUGCUCUCAACAUUUUGCUGGCCAUCUGCCAGGUGGAAGGGGCUAAGAUGGCUGCGAGUGGCGCUGCGGCCGCGACAGGAUUUAUCUACUAUAUUGUGGAUGGAUUGGAGUCGGAGAACACUUGACAUCGAACAGACAGUCUUUAGUCAGCGUCUGAUGGAAUUGCUGACAAAUCCAAUUAGGUGGCCAUCAGUGCCACCGAAAAUGGUGAACCUCUUGGCGGUGGCUAAAUGCCUGAUUGAUCCUAUAUGUUAACAAGAUUUCGGCUGAAGAUUCCCAUGCCGUCGCCGAUGAUUUGCCUAAGUGGAUUGAACUGCGCCCGCCCUACGUAUACUUAAUUUCUUAAAAGCAGCAUAACUCACCGAAUUCAAGUAGACAUUGCCGCCAAAGGAGCUCAUGUUAAGAAUAAUGCCGUAGUAUACCAGAUUCAUGGUGAACCAGAUGCAAAAGAAGCAAAUGGAGAUGCGACGCAGGUAACUGGAGCGGAACAGGUAGGUAACGUCCUGCGUACUGCUCUCCUGCGUCGGCGGCGUCAGUUGAUAAUCGGCGGGCAGCUGGCGACCAUUGAACUUUGCGGCCGCCUCAAUAAUUCGACGCACUUCAUCGAUUCGACCCUUGACCAGCAGCCAGCGCGGCGAUUCCGGCACCACAAACCUAACGUACAGAAGCACCCAAAAUUAAUCAAAUAAAAUUUAGCGCGUGAAACAUGUGCCGCGGCAAUU